rnacentral:rRNA from 1 species
CCAGCAGCCGCGGUAAUACGUAGGGUGCGAGCGUUAAUCGGAAUUACUGGGCGUAAAGCGUGCGCAGGCGGUUCGCCGUGUCCGAUGUGAAAGCCCCGGGCUCAACCUGGGAACGGCAUUGGAAACUGGCGGGCUGGAGUAUGGCAGAGGGGGGUGGAAUUCCACGUGUAGCAGUGAAAUGCGUAGAUAUGUGGAGGAAUACCGAUGGCGAAGGCAGCCCCCUGGGAUAACACUGACGCUCAUGCGCGAAAGUGUGGGGAGCAAACAGGAUUAGAUACCCUGGUA